GGGUUGGUUUAGACGCAAGAAGAAGUCCAGGAUGGAGCCAGCAGGUGAUGGACCAGGUCCCUCUGGUGGAGCCCCUGGAGGAAUGGGAGGAGGAAGUCCUGGAGCUGGUCCAGGUGGAGAACAUGGCGGGGAAGGAGGUGGAGAAGGCGGUGGGUUCUGCUCAAGAUUCUUCAGACGGCUUUGUCUCUGUUCGUAUUGCUGCUACUCCGAGUAGAGCUCAAAUCAUUGAGGAAAGCAGCAGUCUGUGAACCCGAUGGUUGGAUCUCGUUUGUGGGCUGAGAUUGUGGCUGAAAAGUAGAGGAAAUGGACAUUGGCAGAACUUUUAUCGCGAUAUUAUUUUUGAUGUUUUUUUUUUAACGUUGUUUUUGGCGAUGUUUGCAAUUUUUCGGAUAUUAUUUUUGAUGAUUGAUAGUGUUGAUUUUAUGAUAUGUUUAAAAUUCGAUUCUUU